rnacentral:tRNA from 2 species
GAUCUCGUAGCUCAGUUGGUAGAGCACAACACUUUUAAUGUUGGGGCCCUGGGUUCGAGUCCCAGCGGGAUCAC